rnacentral:rRNA from 1 species
GCCAGCGGCGAUAGCACGUUGAAUAUGCUAAUUCCCGAUGGAUCACUGAAGUCAAGCAACGUUCCGCGUGGUUGGUAUCCGGAUGGGUGACUAUCUGGACGGUUGUGUGAUGCUGGCU